rnacentral:rRNA from 1 species
GGAACAUGUGGUUUAAUUCGAUGAUACGCGAGGAACCUUACCUGGGCUUAAAUGGGGAGUGACAGCUGUCGAAAGAUGGUUUUCUUCGGACACUCUUCAAGGUGCUGCAUGGUUGUCGUCAGCUCGUGCCGUGAGGUGUCGGGUUAAGUCCCAUAACGAGCGCAACCCUUACCGUUAGUUACCAUCAGGUUAAGCUGGGGACUCUAGCGGGACUGCCACCGUAAGGUGAGAGGAAGGUGGGGAUGACGUCAAAUCAGCACGGCCCUUAUGUCCAGGGCUACACACGUGUUACAAUGGCCAGUACAAAGGGCAGCUACCGGGUGACCGGAUGCUAAUCUCUAAAGCUGGUCCCAGUUCGGAUCGAAGUCUGCAACCCGACCUCGUGAAGCUGGAUUCGCUAGUAAUCGCGCAUCAGCCAUGGCGCGGUCGAAUACGUUCCCGGGCCUU